rnacentral:rRNA from 1 species
ACAUACACUUCAGAGUUUGAUCCUGGCUCAGGAUGAACGCUGGCGGCGUGCUUAACACAUGCAAGUCGAACGGACUAUAUUUCGGUAUAGUUAGUGGCGGACGGGUGAGUAACGCGUGGGUAACCUGCCUCACACUGGGGGAUAACAGUUAGAAAUAGCUGCUAAUACCGCAUAAGCGCACAAAGUCGCAUGACUUAGUGUGAAAAACUCCGGUGGUGUGAGAUGGACCCGCGUCUGAUUAGCUAGUUGGUGAGGUAACGGCCCACCAAGGCGACGAUCAGUAGCCGGCCUGAGAGGGUGAACGGCCACAUUGGGACUGAGACACGGCCCAA